GCUUAAAUCAUUCUAUGAUUGUUUACAAUUCUCUCAUCUAUUUUACAUGAGGGCUAGAGGGUGGUCUUGGAGCAAGAAAAGUGUUGAGUCCGGGCGCAUUAUGGUACAACUCAGACCGAGUUGGUAAGGAGCAAGCGGUUGGAUUGGCCUGACUCUUCAAGACCAAAGAUACUCAGCUUCCUCUUCAUCAAGUCACGAAAUUCAACCCUU
rnacentral:lncRNA from 1 species